rnacentral:rRNA from 1 species
GUUAGCUAGUUGGUGGGUAGUGGCCUACCAAGGCAAUGAUGGGUAGCCGGGUUGAGAGACCGACCGGCCAGAUUGGGACUGAGACACGGCCCAGACUCCUACGGGAGGCAGCAGGUGGGGAAUCUUGCACAAUGGGCGAAAGCCUGAUGCAGCGACGCCGCGUGCGGGAUGAAGGCCUUCGGGUUGUAAACCGCUUUCAGCAGGGGACGAGGCCGCAAGGUGACGGUACCUGCAGAAGAAGCCCCGGGCUAACUACGUGCCCAGCAGCCGCGGGUAAAUA